AGAGUUUGAUCCUGGCUCAGGACGAACGCUGGCGGCGCGCCUAANACAUGCAAGUCGAACGAGAGAUGAAGAGCUUGCUCUUCAAAUCGAGUGGCGAACGGGUGAGUAACGCGUGAGGAACCUGCCUCAAAGAGGGGGACAACAGUUGGAAACGACUGCUAAUACCGCAUAAGCCCACAGCUCGGCAUCGAGCAGAGGGAAAAGGAGUAAUCCGCUUUGAGAUGGCCUCGCGUCCGAUUAGCUAGUUGGUGAGGUAAUGGCCCACCAAGGCGACGAUCGGUAGCCGGACUGAGAGGUUGAACGGCCACAUUGGGACUGAGACACGGCCCAGACUCCUACGGGAGGCAGCA
rnacentral:rRNA from 1 species